rnacentral:tRNA from 2 species
GCUCGGGUGGUGAAAUGGCAGACACGCAUGUUUGAGGGGCAUGUGGGGCAACCCGUGGGGGUUCGAGUCCCCCCCCGAGCACCA